AUAGCAAACUUUCUAUUUUACAAAACCAAAUAGCACAUCUGUUGGAGCCUAUUUUUCUUCUAUAGAAGUUCUAAAAGGCGUCCAUAACAAGAAUAGCAAAGCUGUUGGAGUUGCUCUUAUGCGGCCAGUCGGCAUUGCCCAGCGGCUAGAAUUUUUGAUAUUUAUUUAAUCCUGAAUUCACACGCCCCUCGACAUUUAACAGUAUGUAUCUAUAUCUAUCUAUCUAUCUAUCUAUACUAUAAUUGACCACUUCAAAUAAUUUUAGAUCCACCAAGAAAAACGGCCCCCGCUGAGUAGUCUAACCAUUGUGUACCUAGAAAAUUACACACAAGAAUUUAUCUCUAUUAAAAUCAAGGGCUCACGAAACAACUAUGUCAGAUCCAAAGGCCUAGAACCAAAGUUUGAUGCGAGGCUUCUCACCCCUUCACACCCACUCCCUCCCCUCAUGUGUCGUCCCCCGCACGCCGCAGAUUCGAUUCCUGAGACUCGCUAGAAAAAAAAUCAUGGUAUAGAAAGAAAAAAAACCUCCCCCGUACAACCACAGCAGCACGGGAGGCUGCUGCAACGGCCGUCGUCGCAUGCGCAUGCGCUCCGCCGGUCGCGCCUCUAUCAGCCGCUACUGCCUCAUCACGCAGGCGGGGCGCAGUUCCGUGGAGCGACAUGUACAAGUGUCGGCCGCACAGGCGCAAGGUCACACAGGCAUGCGCGGCGUCGACGGAGCCGCUGCGGUCCUCGAGGACGCACAGACAAGCGGAGGCACGUAUGGGCCGGGACCGCAGGGCCAUAGGAUGGCAGGACUUGUGGGACGCGCGAUUCGCCAGAGGCCCGCCAAGCCCAGGGUAGCAGGACUCGCUGCCCUCGACGCCUCGCUCCAAGACGUACGGCGGCGGCCCUCACCAUGCUUCUCGGAAUCGUGCUCGAAGCCAUGACUAGGCCACGUGGAAGCAGUCCUCGCCAUGUUGCGUGGAGCCAUGCUCGAUCACCGGCCCUCCCCGUGCUGCAUGGCUCCUCACGACCUCAUUGGAUGUUUGUUGUACUCUACCACAUGCAGGUUCUUCUCUCUCCCUUUCCUAAGCCCCUUCUGAUUCAUAAUCCAAUACAGGUUCCUAAUCCAAUGGGCUUUGUGUUCUCCUGCAAUGGAUUUUUUUACUCCCUAAUGAUGUUGCAAAGUGUCCUCUUUAAAGCCCUGAAGAUGUUCGACAAAAUGGCAGAGUUGAAUGGCACACUCAUGGUCAAGCAAUGCAUUUGCACCAAGGUACCUGGUAACAAUAGAAUUCUUUGAUUCGUGUCAAUUUAAGCUCUACAAAGAAACUCAUGAUACCUUGCCAUUUAAAUCUAAAACUGGACCCUUUUUUUAGGACCCUCCAACUUUCAAUUCCAUAGAGAAAAAUAGUACGAAAGCAACCAAUUUUUUCUGUUUUCUUGCUCUAUUCUGAAAUGAUAUAUUUGGCAAAAUGGUCACAGAGAGCAUUUGUGUCAACCUACAUUUGGUUACUGCAGUUAUUCACAAAUUCUGAUAAAGCUCGUGUGGAGGAAGCUCUGCACAGACUUUGUUUAUAGGGUUUACUGUGUUCACAAAUUACUAGGACAUGGUUGUGAGUAGUCCUUUCUCUUCUCUAUGUGCAAGAUGGUAACAGUAAAAGAGCUAGGACUUCAACAUAGUACUAUGGACAAUGCAAGCUGACCAAAAUCAAGCAAUUACCAUGAUAUCAUAUAUGCAUCGUCAGCAGAGACAGCACAGGUAAGAAGGAAAAUUGUGUACCUUCAGUGCUCCAAUAGAUAGGAGAUUGUCAACAACAAGACAAUUGGGGAAGGUUCAGACAACAUUUUGCUUGUGGGAAUGGAGGGUGUUGCACCAGGUUCUGUCAGCAUUGAUGUUCUACAUGUGAAAGUUGAAGAUCCACUUCACUUUUAUAAUCAAGUUUUGGAUUCCAGAGAGCUCACUAGGUCAGUAUCAUUUCUAUUUCACUAGACUAGAGAACAUUACACUUGUGACUAUCAGGUGAUGGCUUGGGGGGAAAGGUCAUGCUUGGAUACGCAGGGAGUGGCAAGCUUAUUGCCUUUUGCAAAACAAAAAACAGUUUUUAGGAGUGGCAAGCUUAUUGCCUUUUGCACACAAAAAACAGUUUUCAGUGAAUGAAGGAUUGUUCCUAACCAUCCUUGCACUGAACUUUCUCAACCUGCCUAUUCUCGGUUGGCAUUAGAGAAGGAAUAGGGUUCCACCAUUCUUGUACUGCAGUUAAUUUGACCCAACUUAAGGCAUGGAUAAUAUUUUUGACGAGAAACAAUUAUAUUGCUUUCUUUUCUACAAUGUAA